UACGUAGGGUGCAAGCGUUGUCCGGAAUUAUUGGGCGUAAAGAGCUCGUAGGCGGUUCAGUAAGUCGGGUGUGAAAAUUUGGGCUUAACCCAAAGCGUGCAUCUGAUACUGCUGUGACUUGAGUUCGGUAGGGGAGUGGGGAAUUCCUAGUGUAGCGGUGAAAUGCGCAGAUAUCGGGAAGAACACCGGUGGCGAAGGCGGCUGCUCUGGACCUGUCCUGACGCUCAGGCGCGAAAGCUAGGGGAGCGAACG
rnacentral:rRNA from 1 species